rnacentral:rRNA from 1 species
GAUGAACGCUGGCGGUAUGCUUUACACAUGCAAGUCGUACGAGAGUUUUUAACUCAAGUGGCGGACGGGUGAGUAACACGUAAGAAUUUGCCUUUAGGAGGGGGACAACAACUGGAAACGGUUGCUAAUACCCCAUAUGCUUUCGAGUGAAAUGGAUUUUUCCGCCUAAAGAGAAGCUUGCGGCUGAUUAGCUUGUUGGUGAGGUAAUGGCUCACCAAGGCGACGAUCAGUAUCUGGUUUGAGAGGACGAUCAGACACACUGGAACUGAGACACGGUCCAGACUCCUACGGGAGGCAGCAGUGGGGAAUUUUCCGCAAUGGGCGAAAGCCUGACGGAGCAAUACCGCGUGAGGGAUGACGGCCUAUGGGUUGUAAACCUCUUUUUUCAGGGAGGAAUCAAA